rnacentral:rRNA from 1 species
CACGUAGGCACCAAGCGUUGUCCGGAUUUAUUGGGCGUAAAGAGCUCGUAGGCGGUUCGGUAAGUCGGGUGUGAAAACUCUGGGCUCAACCCAGAGCCGCCACCCGAUACUGCUGUGACUAGAGUGCGGUAGGGGAGCGGGGAACUCCUGGUGUAGCGGUGAAAUGCGCAGAUAUCAGGAAGAACACCAGUGGCGAAGGCGCCGCUCUGGGCCGUGACUGACGCUGAGGAGCGAAAGCGUGGGGAGCGAACAGG